CUUCCAUCUGGAAGAAUCUGGAGACAGGUGCUGCAUGGCUGUCGUCAGCUCGUGUCGUGAGAUGUUGGGUUAAGUCCCGCAACGAGCGCAACCCUUGCCUUUAGUUGCCAGCAGUUCGGCUGGGCACUCUAAAGGGACUGCCGGUGUUAAACCGGAGGAAGUGGGGAUGACGUCAAGUCCUCAUGGCCUUUAUGACCAGGGCUACACACGUACUACAAUGGCCGAUACAAAGGGCAGCGACACUGCGAGGUGAAGCCAAUCCCGUAAAAUCGGUCUCAGUCCGGAUUGGAGUCUGCAACUCGACUCCAUGAAGUUGGAAUCGCUAGUAAUCGUGGAUCAGCAUGCCACGGUGAAUACGUCCCGGGCCUU
rnacentral:rRNA from 1 species